rnacentral:rRNA from 1 species
GGCGUGCCUAUACAUGCAAGUCGAGCGAACAGAUAAGGAGCUUGCUCCUUUGACGUUAGCGGCGGACGGGUGAGUAACACGUGGAUAACCUACCUAUAAGACUGGGAUAACUUCGGGAAACCGGAGCUAAUACCGGAUAACAUAUUGAACCGCAUGGUUCAAUAGUGAAAGGCGGCUUUGCUGUCACUUAUAGAUGGAUCCGCGCCGUAUUAGCUAGUUGGUAAGGUAACGGCUUACCAAGGCAACGAUACGUAGCCGACCUGAGAGGGUGAUCGGCCACACUGGAACUGAGACACGGUCCAGACUCCUACGGGAGGCAGCAGUAGGGAAUCUUCCGCAAUGGGCGAAAGCCUGACGGAGCAACGCCGCGUGAGUGAUGAAGGUCUUCGGAUCGUAAAACUCUGUUAUCAGGGAAGAACAAAUGUGUAAGUAACUGUGCACAUCUUGACGGUACCUGAUCAGAAAGCCACGGCUAACUACGUGCCAGCAGCCGCGGUAAUACGUAGGUGGCAAGCGUUAUCCGGAAUUAUUGGGCGUAAAGCGCGCGUAGGCGGUUUUUUAAGUCUGAUGUGAAAGCCCACGGCUCAACCGUGGAGGGUCAUUGGAAACUGGAAAACUUGAGUGCAGAAGAGGAAAGUGGAAUUCCAUGUGUAGCGGUGAAAUGCGCAGAGAUAUGGAGGAACACCAGUGGCGAAGGCGACUUUCUGGUCUGUAACUGACGCUGAUGUGCGAAAGCGUGGGGAUCAAACAGGAUUAGAUACCCUGGUAGUCCACGCCGUAAACGAUGAGUGCUAAGUGUUAGGGGGUUUCCGCCCCUUAGUGCUGCAGCUAACGCAUUAAGCACUCCGCCUGGGGAGUACGACCGCAAGGUUGAAACUCAAAGGAAUUGACGGGGACCCGCACAAGCGGUGGAGCAUGUGGUUUAAUUUCGAAGCAACGCGAAGAACCCUUACCAAAUCUUGACAUCCUUUGACCGCUCUAGAGAUAGAGUCUUCCCCUUUCGGGGGGACAAAGUGACAGGUGG